AGUGGCGUACGGGUGAGUAACGCGUGGGGAACCUGCCCUUGAGUGGGGGAUAACGUUUCUAACGAGACGCUAAUACCGCAUAAUACAGAGACCGGGCAUCCGGAUUCUGUCAAAGGUGGCCUCUGAUUAAAGCUGUCGCUUGAGGAUGGCCCCGCGUCCGAUUAGCUAGAUGGUGAGGUAACGGCUCACCAUGGCUCCGAUCGGUAGCCGGCCUGAGAGGGUGUCCGGCCACACUGGGACUGAGAUACGGCCCAGACUCCUACGGAGGCAGCAGUCGAGAGGCUUCCACAAUGGGGGAAACCCUGAUGGAGCGACGCCGCGUGGGUGAGGAAGGUCUUCGGAUCGUAAAACCCUGUCAGGAGGGAAGAAAACCGCAUUGGUUAAUACCCUUUGCGCUUGACGGUACCUCCAGAGGAAGCUCCGGCUAACUCCGUGCCAGCAGCCGCGGUAACGCGGAGGGAGCAAGCGUUGUUCGGAAUUACUGGGCGUAAAGGGCGUGUAGGCGGUUCCGUAAGUCGGGGGUGAAAUCCAGUGGCUCAACCACUGGCCUGCCUUCGAAACUACGGAACUUGAGGCCGUGAGGGGAAUGCGGAAUUCCUGGUGUAUCGGUGAAAUGAGUUGAUAUCAGGAGGAACACCGGUGGCGAAGGCGGCAUUCUGGCGCGGUUCUGACGCUGAGGCGCGAAAGCAUGGGGAGCAAACGGGAUUAGAUACCCCGGUAGUCCAUGCCGUAAACGAUGAGAACUAGGUGUCGGGGGAUCGGCCCCCUCGGUGCCGAAGCUAACGCAUUAAGUUCUCCGCCUGGGGAGUACGGUCGCAAG
rnacentral:rRNA from 1 species